UGGGCAACCUGCCUGUAAGACUGGGAUAACUUCGGGAAACCGAAGCUAAUACCGGAUAGGAUCUUCUCCUUCAUGGGAGAUGAUUGAAAGAUGGUUUCGGCUAUCACUURCAGAUGGGCCCGCGGUGCAUUAGCUAGUUGGUGAGGUAACGGCUCACCAAGGCAACGAUGCAUAGCCGACCUGAGAGGGUGAUCGGCCACACUGGGACUGAGACACGGCCCAGACUCCUACGGGAGGCAGCAGUAGGGAAUCUUCCGCAAUGGACGAAAGUCUGACGGAGCAACGCCGCGUGAGUGAUGAAGGCUUUCGGGUCGUAAAACUCUGUUGUUAGGGAAGAACAAGUACAAGAGUAACUGCUUGUACCUUGACGGUACCUAACCAGAAAGCCACGGCUAACUACGUGCCAGCAGCCGCGGUAAUACGUAGGUGGCAAGCGUUAUCCGGAAUUAUUGGGCGUAAAGCGCGCGCAGGCGGUUUCUUAAGUCUGAUGUGAAAGCCC
rnacentral:rRNA from 2 species